rnacentral:rRNA from 1 species
GUUUGAUCCUGGCUCAGGAUGAACGCUGGCGGCGUGCUUAACACAUGCAAGUCGAACGUGAUCCAUUAGCAAUAGUGGUGAAAGUGGCGAACGGGUGAGUAACACGUAGAUAACCUGCCCUGAAGAGGGGGAUAACGACUGGAAACGGUCGCUAAUACCGCAUAAUGUCUUUUAGUAGGGAUACUGGAAGAAGAAAACUCUGGUGCUUCAGGAGGGGUCUGCGUCCGAUUAGCUAGUUGGUGAGGUAAAGGCUCACCAAGGCGACGAUCGGUAGCUGGUCUGAGAGGACGAUCAGCCACACGGGAACUGAGACACGGUCCCGACUCCUACGGGGGGCAGCAGUGAGGAAUAUUGCCCAAUGGGGGAAACCCUGAGGCAGCAACGCCGCGUGGAGGAAGAAGGUCUUUACGAUCGUAAACUUCUUUUGUGAGGGAAGAGGAAGGACGGUACCUCAUGAAUAAGUCACGGCUAACUACGUGCCAGCAGCCGCGGUAAUACGUAGGUGACGAGCGUUAUCCGGAAUUACUGGGCGUAAAG